GUUCGUCACUAGAUAGCGUUCGGCUUGAAAUAAACUUGUCUCACGCAAAGUAACCACGGAUGACAGCUAUGAGAGAAUGAGUUUGUAACGUGUAAAGUUUAAACUGUAACGUAUUUUUAUGAAAUUGAUCAAUGCAACGGUCUGUUGAUUGGAAGGGGGAGGGUUUUGUAAACAGUUCGUCUGUCAACCAAAAAGUCGCAAACUGUUCUGCAACACAUUCGGUAAUACGAGGACUUUCCGCCUUUGUUACCAUUUAUGGUCGGCCAUCAGGAUUCUAGAGGGAACUUUCUACACUCAUAUCCAUUACAUCCUCAGGUUAUAAUUGAAACCAAGUGUGCUUCACACAGUCAAGCGCGACGAAGAAACAGUGCCCAACAGCAACAAAGGAAACAAGGGUGACAACAAGAAUAUUGGAUAUGCAACCUCACCAUGUUAGCCAAAGUAAUUUAACCCUUUUUU